UAUUCACCCAUAAACCCUAUACAUCUUCUAACUUACUAGGUAUUGCCUUGGGAUGUAGAGAAGCAGUUUAAAAUGUUCCCUGUGUCUGAUUCAGAGCAGCUGUCUUAAAUAUUCACCAGAACAACGACUGGGAUCUGUCUGUCCCAAUUUACAGAGGCCAGGGAGGAGAGGAAUGAGACUGUUUUUCCAUUCUCGGGAGAGUUGCAUCACAAAUACUUUUAUAAAACACUGAAAAGAAAUGAAGGAUCAGGAGUUCACGCAGAACUGUCUACCUUAAAAACGUACUUAAAAAUCUCUUACUUGGCUUUUUCUUCAUCCAGUUUCCUUUGCUUCACAUCCAAUGAAUGUUUUACCACCUCAUACCACUUCUUGAACUCAAAAUAUGGGCCCCCUGAAUAAAACAUACACACUUUAGUUUGGGAAGAAAUGAAAGAUAUGACAGAAAAGGUCUCCAAGCAGUUAGACCAUGCAUCUUGUACCUGUACACAAACUACCCCAAAUUCAAUGUGCUUAAAGAAAACACAGUUGAUCUAAUAAUUCUGUAAGAAAGAGAAAUGCAGAAAUGGAGUGAAAGAACAGCAUGUCACAGGAAGUGCAAAGAAGUCUCGUAUCUUAGAUUUCAUUGAUUUAGCAUAAGUCAAACCUUUUCCCUCUUUUCUGGAAAGGUAAACCUAAAAACUACCUCCUCUCUACUAAAUCAAUUCUUCACUGUGUGGAGUGGCCUUCAAAUGUUUCAAAGUUGAAUUCAAUGGAUUAAUGAAACUAUGCAUCAAGCUUAAGUUUAAACAAAUAAUGCCUAAAGAAGAUCACAUGCAAAAUUUCACAUAGUUUCAUCAGCUCCCCACUGUCUAUCCCACUACCCAUGAAAACUUACAGGGUUGGGAAGAUAAACUAGACAAUGGUCUUCAUAUCAGCCUCUCAUGGUUUGGAGCACAGAAACUUCACUUGUUGAUAUGUGAACAAGUAUUUACCAGCACAUGCCAAAACAUGAAGACAUAGGACAUUUAGCAGCACCUUUAUCAAUGAUCCUCCAAAGAGGCACAAGACUGAAGCAGACCAACUGGGUACAGUAAGGAUAAGAAUUCCAAACAGAAAUAUGGUGUAGAUUUAUAUAUUUAAAAAUAAUCAACUCUUGUUCCCUGUGGGUGGAAUAUCUGCAUUGUGAAUUAACCAGACUUUGCAUUUCCCCAUGGCCCGAGCUGCACUGCAUGCGAUGCUUGCGUCAUGCUCAGCUUUGCCAGCCAGCUGUCCAAACUCUCCUGAAGGUGAAUGCACUGUUCUUACAAUCAAACUUAUAUACCUUUUGUAUUAUUUGCAUUUCUGCUGUUUGUAUUGCCUCAGAAUAUCUAGAUUCUAAAAACAUAGAUGGUCUCAAAAAGCAAGAGACACAUGAAAGGAACAAAGACCCCUCAGCAGUCCUUGAAAUUCAAAGGUCUGGAUACAACUUCUUUUAUCAGCUCCUUAAACCCCCAGGUUUAAGUAAAUGCUCCUAAAUUGCUGGGAGAGCAGUGUGGGAGGUGUUAGAAAUUUGUGUUAAACUUUAUAUGAAUUAUUAAGCAUCUAUCACAUCCAAGCCCAUUGUCAGAGACAUGAUGCUACACUGUAAUAACCCUUCACCUGGCCAGUACUGCUGGUCUGACAUUCAUGUAGCUGAGCUGACUGGAAAAUACACAGCUCUGUAUACACACAUGCAUCUAUAUAGACCUCAAUCACCUUUUAUUUGAACAAAACCCAUAUUGUGGAUGUGUGCAGUUCACAGAACACACACAGUAGGUAAAUAUAACUUUCUAUUGUACUGCUUCCAGUGUAACUUGAAGAAAUGUAGGAGCUGAAAUACUAUUUUUUAAUUUAAAAAAAAUGGACUAGAGAAUGGAUAGUUGAGAAUGGAGUCAACAUAAACUGAAUCUUUAAAACUUGCUAUUAACUAUUAUUCAUUUAAGCACUCUAACUUUGGGAAAAUGCCAGAGGCAGUUUUGAGCUCUGGCACUGAUCAGUCGUCUAACAGAAAUUCUCACAUCAGCUCCUCCGUGCAGCUGCUCACCAUCACCCUGACAUCUUAAACAUAGGGACAACAGAACAGAGCACAUGGAUCAUUUGCACCAGCAGAUUUUAAAGUAAAACAGUGGGCAAAGAAUGAGCUGUUAAUUCCCAAGGGCAAUGAGACUUGUUAAUAAGGGAGAAACCCCAUUAAGACAUUAAUGAGCCUCAGCUUGUAAAGCAGUUGCACAACUCCCCACUCCUGUCACUAUCAUGUACUUCAAGUUUUCAAGGGAAGUAAAAAGGAAAAUAAAAAAUCCACCAUAAGUUUGUGUAUCCACCUGAAUGUGAAAAUUACCAGUUUUAGUUAACAGUGAUGACUGUCUCUAGUUACAGCAGUAAUUGAGCUCAUACAGAACUAACACCAUAAUUUUAUUAUGGACCAAAAUUUUAAAUAAAGCACCAGAAGGGUCAAAAUGACCCAAAACUGGAAAAAAGGCCUAACAGAUAAAUCACUGCAACACAUCUUGGAUCUUAUCUUCAACUGUGAUUUGGAUUGGGCCAUGAAACAUCUUCCUGAAGAUUUCUAAUCUUUGAUUUGGUCUUUCUGCCCUCAAAGAACCAUGUUCACACCAUUAUCUUCUCCAUCUUAAUUGCUGCUAGCUUUUCCACACUCUCUCAGGAUUAUUUGGACUAAGAAACUAGAUUACAUCUGAAAUAUGUUACACACUAAGACAUUUUAUUUAACAAGACUAAACAAGUUUGGAUUUUAUCAUAAAUGUGGUUUGAUGCCCCUAGUAAGUAUCUGCUAUUUACGAUCAAAGUGUGCUCCCUUUUCACAGCAUAUCCAUUCAUCUCCACCUACCACACAUAAAACUCCAAACCAAGAGGCAAACAUGCACAAGCAGAAGCAGAGAGGCACCCAGCAAAAUGUGUACCAAACUCCCCUACCCCAAACAAUAAGAAUUGUGCAGGUACACCGAGGCCAUUUUACAUGAACAGGAUCUACUCUUCUCUGAAUAAAAUUUGCCCUUAAUGAAUGACAAAAACACAUUUUCAUGAUCAAUAAGAAAAGUCUUUCUAACCCUGAUUGCAAAACUGUCUCAUUUACAAAAUAACACUGUUUCUACUAGAAUAUUUAUGUACCUUCUGUGUUAUUUUUAUUUCUUUCUUCAGCAAACUCUGAAAGUAACCUGUAAAAAAAAUUGAAAAAUCAGGCUGUUUUGUAGAUCCAAAUACUGCACUUUUCACAUGAAGUUCAAAUACAAUGGACAAAAAUGACAUCCUAAUUUUAUUCCAAGUAUCAGAUAAAACCCAACGAAUUUUAAAAGUAACUAAUAUUUCAUGUCUAAAAUGCCUUCAAGUGUAUGGUUUAAGCUACUGAACUUAAGUGAAAUUCCAGUAGUAUAAAUUUAACUCUAAAGAAAGAACGAUCAGAGACAAGCAUUUGCAGUAUUUGUAAUUUGAGGGUUGCUACAGAUUUGUCUGUACACUUACCAUUCAUAGUGAUCAUCUAAU